AAGCAUUUCAAUCUGAAGUUUCACCUCAUCACCUCAUCAGAUCUCAAAGAAAAAGUUAGUAGUAAUAAAAUUCAAUAAAUGUUAAAAUAAACAACGAGGGUAGGAAAAUGAAGGUUAAGAGACUGUCAAGAUAUUCUUACACCAGCUGGGUCUUUCUUUUCAGCUGGGUUACUGUAAAUCUCCAGCUUUCUUUUUCGUGUAAGCUUUCUUUUUUGUAUUGUCUCCCUGUCGCCCCGAUGCUUUCCAUCUGUCCUGAAAUGCGACUCCAACCUCGACCACGAAUCUAGUUUCGAACAUGGAUCCGACCUCAAUGAGCAAUCUAUCGCUGUGGUCGUCGGAUUUGCUGAGUUCCUUUCUGUCUUGCUAAACACGGCUCCGA
rnacentral:lncRNA from 1 species